AUACUUACCUGGCAGGGGAGAUACCAUGAUAACAAAAGUGGUUUUCCUGGGCGAGGCUUAUCCAUUGCACUCCGGAUGUACUGACCCCUAUGAUUUCCCCAAAUGUAGGAAACUCGACUGCAUAAUCUGUGGUAGUGGGGGACUGUGUUCACUCUCUCCCCUA